UCCAGCACCAAAUAGUGGGAAGGGGCCCAGCCCUCCAGCUCCCCAAACUUCACGUACCACCACCCGCUCUCCUGCUUCUCCAGCACCUGCACCUCCACGCCCGCGGGGAAGCUGAUCUCCGAGUCCUGGACCUUCUGGAGUGCCACGGAUGCCUGCAUCUGAAGCAGAGCGGGGCUUCAGGUCACCACUGGUUUUGGACAAUGAAGAAGAGGAGGAGGAAGAGGAGGAGCAGCAGGUGGUAUUGAUGGUGAUGGAGGAGGAAAAGGAGGCUGAGGAGUGGUUCUUCCCCAGUUCUGCCUUCGAAUUCUUCUCUGCCUUGAGCUUUAGGAGUGACGAUGACUUGGGGGAGCCUGAUUUGGGGCCACGUCUUCUGAAGACUCGCCCACUUUGAAGCGGGCCCGCUGCAGAGAAGAGGCCGGCGAUGGCCGGCAGGGCUGGGCAGGCCGCCUGUCCCCUGAGGCUCUGUCCUCCACGGGCUCUUCACUCAGCUCGGGCUCUGAGUCAAAGCCAAAUGCAGGGAUGUCAUACUCAGGCUCCUCGUACUUGAGCUUCCGCGGGGAGUCCUGGCCCUCACUGGCCCCUGGUGGGCCCUCCUCGGCCUCCCUGGGCUUGCUGGGCGGUGCUGGCGGGGGCACCUUGGGCCGGGUCAGCGUGCUUGUACGGCGGCUCAGGUUGGGCUUCUUGCGCUUAUCGAUGUAUGAUGCGGGGGCCCAGCCCUCCUUCUCACCGAUCUGCACAUACCACCAGCCACCUGAGUUCUUAUCAAUGACCUGGGGGAUGAGUGCAGAUGAGCCAGUGAGUUGAGAGGAUCUGGGACCCUGUGACAUACCAAAGUAGGAGUGUCAUACUUUGGCUUGGAGAUACAUUAUCUCCAUUUUACAAAUAAUAAACUGAGCCACCGAGUAAGUGGCCAAAGACCCAACAUAGUAAGUAAUGCACCAGAAUUCAAACCUAGGUCUUCAGCAUCUCACGGUUGGUGGGUUCCCUUUGCAAAGUUACCUCCCUGGUCCUCCACAUCUGUGUUAACACCCGGGUUGAGGUGGCCACUCCUUCCACUAAACUGCACUGUUCCCAGUCCCCAUGAUGCUGCCAGUAGACUCACUAAGGACACGUAUGAAUAAAACACUGCCCUUCUGUUGCCCCUUCCCUCCCUGUACCCUUGAUGUUGCUAGGUCCUUCCUGGGAGGCCCUUGGAAGGGUCUCCAGGGUCAGAAGAGAAUGGGAAGAUGAAGUGAUUGGGAGGUAGAGACCCGACGCCAGGGCCCCUCUGCAGAGCCUCUUCCCAGUGUCCACCACCUGUGGCCAUUUUACUGGAAUCCCACUGAAAUCCCGCUAGCUGAAGAGAUUUCCAUGGGUUGAAUGGUUUCCUGUAGGAAGUGUAGGGGACUUUCAGUAAUUUCCAUGUUAGUAUAAACUGCUUUAAGGGGCUUCUUCCUUAACUUUUGAGAUCAACCAAUGGCCAAGAGUGUGGCUGCUGGUUGUGCUGGGGUCCAUUUGGACUGGGGAGCAUGAAGGGCAGGCAAUUGGGGAUUGUGGGACACUCCUGGAGGGAGAGAUCCUGGGGUGGGGAGGGGUAGUGUGAAAACACUGGCACCAUGGGAAGAGGCCAAGGACGGAGGGAAGGAUGAAGAACGCAAAGGCAAGAAGAGACCAGUCCUCUGUACCCCACCAAAAGAGAAAGAUUUUCUCCUUCUUUGGGUCCUUCAUUCUGUCCUUCACCCUGCCGCAGCCCUGGACCUACAGUGCAAGCACUCCUUGAACCUGACAGUUCUGCCACAUUAUGCUCUUUUCAGACUCUCCUGGAAAUCUCAGCACCGAGACGAUGAUUUUUCUUGGAAAUGUAGUUCCAAGUUCCAGGCAUGUUAUUUAAAACAUUCACAUUGGGAAUGUCACUGCUUUAGAGGUAGAGACUGCCCAGUGAAUCUGACAGUACAUCACUAGUUGGAGUUAACUCAAUUACUACACAAAACCACUGAGAGAAUUGACUGAGUUACAGUUCUUCUCUGCUGCUGGGAAUACCAUGCUCAGCACCAGCCACAAAAUACAGUGGCCUGAAUGUUGGAAGACGGGCUGGGAGGGCUUGUCCCAGGAUCUAUCACCUCGUUUGCAGAGGGAAAUGCUUAAAGUUGGGGGCGGGAGAAGUGACUGCAUCAAAGGCCAGGGUUCAUGUGGUAUGACUUGGCCAGAGCCCAGGCCCCAGUAUCUCAUUCCACCUGCCUGGUCCACAUCCUCCUGACCACAUUUCCUAUUGGGGCUCUGCAGGAUCCCGGCCCCGAGGUGUUCCUGGGAGAAAAACUUGUAGGGUAGUGCCUAUUCUAGUCCCCUUGUAGAUGACACUCCCAGUGACAUCCUUGUAUCGUAGGCUCUGGGAAGCCCUGCAAUUAAAACAACAAACGGGCUGGAUGUUGUUUAAUCCACUGUCCUAGAAGCUCAUUUGACCACAGAAGCCCUUUGUUUCGAGGCCCCCGUCACAAGCUCACGUACAUGCUCUGGGAAGUGUCGUUGUGAGACGAGCCCUGUGAGCUCAGGGUGGAGCAUGAGAGCUGGGAUCUAGUCCAGGCUGUGGCACUGGCUGGCGCCAGGGAGAUGCUCAUCCUUGUGCUCAUUUCUGCACCUUUCCUGGCUGCCCCUCAGGAGUCUUACUAGCUCGGCCUAAAUGGGAAAUGCAGUUCUGCCAUGAUGAGUUAAAACCCUUGGCCUCAUGGCCCGAGGCUUACCUCUGCCUUCUGUCCUCCCCGAAAGCUGAUGCCAUCGGAAAUGCACGACUGGAAUUCGGCAAUGGUGUAGUACUCCACCUCAACAGAAGGGGGCUCUGGUGGCUUUGGCAGUUGGAACCCCUAAGGUUGAAGAAGACACAGUGGGCAAAACCCACUCAAAUCAUAAGAGUAACAUGGCCAAGUAUUGGUCCCCCCCACCCCCCCACUCAGUCCCCAGGAGGAGCGGAUGGCCAUUUACACCAGCUGGACAGCAGCUAGCCUAAGUACAUAUCUAUCACUGGAGUCUCAGGGUAUACCCCCAGGGGACUGCUCUGAUGAGGCUUUCUCAUACUCGGGAUUCACGGGAGGCUUGUCUGAGCUAUCAGAAUGCUCACAUUACUAUUACUAUCAUCAGUAUCAUCAUCACUCUGUGACAGGAUCUUGCUUUGGGACGCAGGCUAGAGUGCAGUGGAGUAAUCAGAGCUCAUUGCAGCCUCCAUCUCCUGGGCUGAGUGAUUCUCCCACCUCAGCCUGCCCAGUAGCGGGACUAUAGGAACAUACCACCACACCGUUUUUUUUUGUGUGGUUUUUUUUUUUUUUUUUUUUAAAAGAUGGCCUCUCUCAGGAUCUGGAGGAAUUUGCUUUAAAAAAAAAAAAGAGAGAGAGAAACAAAAGUAGAGAUAGUGCUUUGCAAUGUUGCUUAGGCUAGUCUCAUACUCUUGGGCUCAAGCAGUCCUCCUGCCCCAGCCUUCCAAAGUGCUAGGAUUACAUCAUAAGCCACCGUGCCCAGCACAGAAUGCUCAUUUUUAAGAUAGUAAUUUCUAAUCUUACAUCUCUGGAGGUCAAGUUUUCAGAUGCCUCAAUAACUGAGUCACAAAAUGAAAAUUAAAAAGAGAAAUCUCCUGUAAUCCUAGUGCUUUUGGGAAGCCCAGGUGGGAGAACUGCUUGAGGCCAGGAGUUUGAGACCAGCCUGGUCAAACAGUGACACCCAUCUCUAAAAACAAAACAAACAAAAAAAUUAGGUGGGCAUGGUGCUAUGCACAUGUACUCCCAGCUACUUGGGAGGCUGAGGCGGGAAGAUAGGUUGAGCCUAGGAGCUCGAGGCUGCUGUGAGCCACCGUCAGACCACUGCACUCCAGCCUGAGUGACAGUGUCUCUGAAAUUUACAAAAAAAUAAAAUAAAAGGAGAGAAAUCAUUCUAAAAAAAAAGCCCUUGUACACUGUGCUGUGGGAGAGGAAGGAAAGCCACUGUCCUGAAGUCUAGGGGCGAGGGCUGCAGCUGGGACUUUGGCAGCACAGGCAGGGUGAUGGAGCACAAUGGUCUCUAGUCUGGGGUGAGUGUGUAACGAGGCAGUGCAGUUGGCUGAGCAAAGUCUUUAGCUGGUCAUCAUGACGAGGCCAGAUAGGCAGGCACUAAAUAAAACUCGCAAUAUUCUGUGGGCAGGGCAGAACCCACUGGAGAUACUCAAUGCUUUGCAGACACUGGCACAGCAGCAUCUAAGCAUGACAUUUAGGACAUUAAGCAUGACAUUCAAGGACAUUUAGAAGCUGGCCUUUGCCCAUGGUUUGUGAGCCUCACCCAUUCAUUUAACAACUGUGUGUUGUGCAUCUACUGGGUGCCAGACACUGGUCUAAGGCACUGAGCACCCACCAGGAAACCAAAUGGACAACCCCUUGUCCUUGUGUAUUGUACAUUUUUGCUUCAAUGGUCUUGUCUCUACUGAGCUAAAAUGGACUUUGUACCCUGCUAUUUAUGUCCUCCCUCAUGCAAAGGGAUUCAAAUAAAGCAAUUGGAAAAAAAAAAAAAAAAAAAAAGGUGGGAGGGACGAGGGGAUGAGAAGAAGCUUGGUGUAGCAGGAAGACCUGCAAAGACCUUAACCUUGGCUCUGGAUUCCAAUCCCAGCAGUUCACCAGCUGUGUGGCCCUGGGCAAAGCCCCUCAUCUCUCUGAACUUCAGUUCUCUCAUCUGUAAAAUGGAACUAAUACCAGCAUCAUGAAGAGGAUCCCUGAGAUAAUGUGCAACACUUUGGGCCUGGCCAGGGGCAGAGAGAGUUCUCAAUAAAUAGAAGCUGGAGCUCA